rnacentral:rRNA from 1 species
GGGAAACAACCCUAACCAUCAUCUAAGGCCCCCAAGUAACGGCUAAGUGGGAAACGAUGUGGGAUUGCUUUGACAAUCAGGAGGUUGGCUUAGAAGCAGCCAUCCUUUAAAGAAAGCGUAACAGCUCACUGAUCAAGCGAUCCUGCGCGGAAAAUGUAACGGGGCUAAAGCCGUUCGCCGAAGGUAUGGGUUUGCAGUUUACUGCAAGCGGUAGCGGAGCGUUCCG